rnacentral:rRNA from 1 species
UACGGGGGGGGCAAGCGUUGUUCGGAAUUACUGGGCGUAAAGGGCUCGUAGGCGGCCAACUAAGUCAGACGUGAAAUCCCUCGGCUUAACCGGGGAACUGCGUCUGAUACUGGAUGGCUUGAGUUCGGGAGAGGGAUGUGGAAUUCCAGGUGUAGCGGUGAAAUGCGUAGAUAUCUGGAGGAACACCGGUGGCGAAGGCGGCAUCCUGGGCCGACACUGACGCUGAUGAGCGAAAGCCAGGGGAGCAAACGGG